AUUCAGGCUACCGAAAGCAGGUACAUUAGCAGGUACAGUGGGCAACAUCAUUAGCAGGUACAGUGGGCAACAUCAUUAGCAGGUACAGUGGGCAACAUCAUUAGCAGGUACAGUGGGCAACAUCAUUAGCGGGUACAGUGGGCAACAUCAUUAGCGGGUACAGUGGGCAACAUCAUUAGCAGGUACAGUGGGCAACAUCAUUAGCAGGUACAGUGGGCAACAUCAUUAGCAGGUACAGUGGGCAACAUCAUUAGCAGGUACAGUGGGCAACAUCAUUAGCAGGUACAGUGGGCAACAUCAUUAGCAGGUACAGUGGGCAACAUCAUUAGCGGGUACAGUGGGCAACAUCAUUAGCGGGUACAGUGGGCAACAUCAUUAGCGGGUACAGUGGGCAACAUCAUUAGCAGGUACAGUGGGCAACAUCAUUAGCAGGUACAGUGGGCAACAUCAUUAGCACUUUGGAAGCGAGAGGAAAUACGUUGCAAGCGUGUUGUAAGGAACAUGUUUGCUGGCCUCAUAAAUGCUAACCAGCUAGCUAAUAUUUAGAAAAUAAAUGUGGAUUUGGUUAGAGUUAUGGUAACCUGUUUG